rnacentral:rRNA from 1 species
UGGGGAAUAUUGCACAAUGGGGGGAAACCCUGAUGCAGCGACGCCGCGUGAAGGAAAGAAGUAUCUCGGUAUGUAAACUUCUAUCAGCAGGGAAGAUAAUGACGGUACCUGACUAAGAAGCCCCGGCUAACUACGUGCC